rnacentral:rRNA from 1 species
UGGGAAUUUUGGACAAUGGGCGCAAGCCUGAUCCAGCCAUGCCGCGUGCGGGAAGAAGGCCUUCGGGUUGUAAACCGCUUUUGUCAGGGAAGAAAUCUUCUGAGUUAAUACCUCGGGAGGAUGACGGUACCUGAAGAAUAAGCACCGGCUAACUACGUGCCAGCAGCCGCGGUAAAUACGUAGGGUGCAAGCGUUAAUCGGAAUUACUGGGCGUAAAGCGUGCGCAGGCGGUUUUGUAGGACAGAGGGUGAAAUCCCCGGGCUCAACCUGGGAACUGCCUUUGUGACUGCAAGGCUUGAGUGCGGCAGAGGGGGGAUGGAAUUCCGCGUGUAGCAGUGAAAUGCGUAGAUAUGCGGAGGAACACCGAUGGCGAAGGCAAUCCCCUGGGCCUGCACUGACGCUCAUGCACGAAAGCGUGGGGAGCAAAACAGGAUUAGAUACCCUGGUAGUCCACGCCCUAAAACGAUGU